CACACUGGACUGAGACACGGUCCAGACUCCUACGGGAGGCAGCAGUGGGGAAUAUUGCACAAUGGGCGAAAGCCUGAUGCAGCCAUGCCGCGUGUAUGAAGAAGGCCUUCGGGUUGUAAAGUACUUUCAGUUGUGAGGAAGGGUGUGUAGUUAAUAGCUGCGCAUCUUGACGUUAGCAACAGAAGAAGCACCGGCUAACUCCGUGCCAGCAGCCGCGGUAAUACGGAGGGUGCGAGCGUUAAUCGGAAUUACUGGGCGUAAAGCGCAUGCAGGUGGUUCAUUAAGUCAGAUGUGAAAGCCCGGGGCUCAACCUCGGAACUGCAUUUGAAACUGGUGAACUAGAGUACUGUAGAGGGGGGUAGAAUUUCAGGUGUAGCGGUGAAAUGCGUAGAGAUCUGAAGGAAUACCAGUGGCGAAGGCGGCCCCCUGGACAGAUACUGACACUCAGAUGCGAAAGCGUGGGGAGCAAACAGGAUUAGAUACCCUGGUAGUCCACGCCGUAAACGAUGUCUACUUGGAGGUUGUGGCCUUGAGCCGUGGCUUUCGGAGCUAACGCGUUAAGUAGACCGCCUGGGGAGUACGGUCGCAAGAUUAAAACUCAAAUGAAUUGACGGGGGCCCGCACAAGCGGUGGAGCAUGUGGUUUAAUUCGAUGCAACGCGAAGAACCUUACCUACUCUUGACAUCCAGAGAAGCCAGCGGAGACGCAGGUGUGCCUUCGGGAGCUCUGAGACAGGUGCUGCAUGGCUGUCGUCAGCUC
rnacentral:rRNA from 1 species